AUCACCAGAAUCUCACAGUAUCUGAGUAAAUAAAACUAAGCAUAAUACAAUAUAGAUAUCAAAUAACAAUAAAACAAUGACAAAUGUCACCUUAAGGUUCAGCAGAAUAUACACAGCAAUGAUAAAGGUCCGUGUUAUAUUAAUUCUGAUGAGGGCAGAAGAAUUUUUUUGGCAGAUUGGAUAUUUAUAUUCCUCUUUUUUGCUUUGCAUGUCUUGUUUUUUUUUCCCCCGCUACCCCGCAAGAAAAUUUAUUUCACUUUUGUACAUAAUUAUUUCUUACAUUUUGUGUUUAAAAUUUAUUCAUUUUUAUCCUGUCCUUGGUAAGAAUAUGUAUUUCAAUUCUUUUAAAAUAUCAAAAUAUUCAUUUUCAAAUUCCUCAACAGGUCCCCUCCAAAAAAUCAAAAAGUCAUCCCCAAAGUCCAUGUUAAUAUACUACCAGUUGACACAAUAUAAGUAGAAAGGCCAAAUACAUUUUUUUACGAGGCAACACAAUACAAGUCAAUCAAAUAAUUAGACUUGAAAAGCUUCAAAACUUGAGAAGGAUAAAUAAUCAAACAAUAAUUAAAAACAAAAAACAAAAUCGUAAUGUAAAUGUCACAUUAACAAUCAAACAUAGAAUGCAUUAAUAAAAAAAACACCACCUUCUAAAUGUUCAUAUUAGUUACAACAUGUGAGGUAAUCUAUGGGUGGACGGAUGAAAUCUUAAAACCAAACUUGACAGUGUUAUCUUUGAAUAUAAAAAUUAAAAGAUUGCCAAUUAAACAACUCUCUAUGAGAGACCAAAUGACACAGAAAUCAACAGCUAUAGAUCACUGUUCAGCCUUCAAAGAUGAGGAAAACACAUACUGAAUAGUCAGCUAUAAAAGCAUAAUCCAGAAGAAAAGAUGCUAAAUUGUAUGAAUACAUAGCUACUUUAGUUGGUACUAGCUUUUAUUGGUACACCUUUUAGGCACUUCCAGUUUGCAGAUACUUUGAAGUUUUAAGGUGUUUAACAAAUUUAAUAUUUUCAUCACAUAUUUCUUCAAUACUAUUGAACAGAAUGAUGUAAUAUUUAGUCAGCAGAUUUCCCUUAAUAAAUCCCCACUAAAUAACCCUGGCUACAGGGCCUGUUAAUUAUGAUAUUUAUAAACCCUGAUUUAAAAUUUGGCAACUUACCUACCCAGAGUGGAUUAUAAAUACCAAAUUUGAUGUGGUAAGUCAAAAAAUCUCCUUUUCUGAUACUUAAAAUAAAAAGAAUGCAAAUACAUUUGAAAAAAAACCUGACAGGAAUUAAAAAAGUGAAGGUUUAAGCAACUUUUGGUUUCUCAAAAACAAUUCUGAAUGACAAAAAAUGCAAGAUAAGAAAAACAUUUAUGAUAUGUAAAACUUUGAA
rnacentral:lncRNA from 1 species